rnacentral:lncRNA from 1 species
GUUGAUGUUUUUGGGUUUAGAUUUGAAGGUUUAGGGUUUUAGGGUUUAGAGUUUACGUUUAGGGUUUAGAGUUGAUGUUUUAGGAUUUAGAUUUAAAGGUUUAGGGUACAAAUUUAAGAAAAAUAUAGGGUUUAGGGUUUACGUUUAGGGUUUAGAGUUGAUGUUUUUGGGUUUAGAUUUGAAGGUUUAGAGUUUAGGGUUUAGAGUUGAUCUUUCGGGGUUUAGGGUUUAGAGUUGAUGAUUUAGGGUUUAGGGUUUAGAGAUGAUGAUUUAGGGUUUAAAGUUGAUGUGUUGAGUUUAGAUUUAGGGUUUAGAGUUGAUGUUUUAGGGUUUAGAUUUGAAGGUUUAGGGUUUAGAGUUUAGGGUUUAGAGUUGAUGUUUUGGGGUUUAGGGUUUAGAGUUGAUGUUUCGUGGUUUAGGAUUUAGAGUUGAUGAUUUAGGGUUUAGAGUUGAUGAUUUAAGUUUAAAUUAGUUAAUUUUUUUUUGUCAAAGUUAAUCAAAACGUUAUAAAUAUUUUUUACCCUUCAUUAAAGAUAAAGGUAAAAGUAAUUAGUGCAAACAUGAAAAGUGGUAUUUUGAAAAUGAUAUUUUUGGCAAUUUUCCUUUAUUAAAUAUAAGAAUAUAUAGGCAUGUGUACAUUUAUACGGAACCGGAGAACCAAACCAAAUUAAACUUCUUUUCUAGGAUCGAUUAAGAUUUGGGUUCUACCAAUUACGAGAACAAAUCUUAUAUCUCUAGAACCCGAGAGUAGGAAUCAAAAAUUUGUUUCACAUAUUUUUAAUAUUUAUUUAGCAAAACUAUAAAAUAUUUUUUCAGCAAUCAAACAUUAUUUUGUAUCACUUAUUUUAUCAAAACCCCAC